AUUGAACGCUGGCGGCAGGCCUAACACAUGCAAGUCGAGCGGAGCGGCGGACGGGUGGGUAAGGCCUAUGUGUCUGACUGGUAGUGGGGGAUAACGUACGGAAACGGGCGCUAAUACCGCCUACUUUCAGUUGAGCCUAGGCCGGAUUAGCUAGUUGGUGGGGUAAAGGCCUACCAAGGCGACGAUCCCUAACUGGUCUGAGAGGAUGAUCAGUCACACUGGAACUGAGACACGGUCCAGACUCCUACGGGAGGCAGCAGUGGGGAAUAGUGGACAAUGGGCGAAAGCCUGAUGCAGCCAUGCCGCGUGUGUGAAGAAGGUCUUCGGGUUGUAAAGCACUUUAAGUUGGGAGGCGUUACCAACAGAAGAAGCACCGGCUAACUCCGUGCCAGCAGCCGCGGUAAUAC
rnacentral:rRNA from 1 species